UUCUUCCCCGCGGCGGCGGCUGCGAAUCCCCGCCCCGCCUCCUUCCUGGCGGCAGCACUGCAUCUUCGUGCCGCCUUCUUCGGCGGAACCACCUCAUCGCCGCUCCACCACCUUGCUCGGCUGCCACGACAUCACCCGGCGACCUCCUUCCAUGGCUGCCACGCCUACCCGCUACAAGCCCCCUCACUCUCUCCCAUGGUCUACCCCGCGCCAUUCAUGGGAGUUCAUAGAUCGUCGCUGUGGGAGUCAAUUGGCGCCUCCCCGUGCUUCCCUCUGAGUGUAGCGGCGGCCUCGCCGAAAUUCGUCGAGCGUGAGAGAGUGCUCUGACCAGAAACCCUGGAUUGCCCUCCUCGGUGGCCACAUGGUCGGUCCCUGGUUGAGCAUUCUCGCUGGCGUCAUUGGGUUAUGCGGUUGCAUAUCUGAUUACUAGAUAAAGCACAAGCCAACGAUUAUGCAUGAGUGUUACUGCUGCUAGUAUCUGUUAGCUUUUUUCGAGUGGAUCAUAACGGGUUCUGAUUACAACAUGCUAGUCUGGUUAGUUAAUAUGCUUGCUGGCUUAUGAGUUGAUGUAUUUCUUUGUUGAUUGAAUAUUGUAUAUGUAUUUAGUUACUGCGUGGAAGUUCAUUUGUUCACAUGUAUAUUCACUUUUCGGAUUGGUUUUAGAAUUGCGGGUGAUGAUGCACUGCUUCCGACUGUAUCUGAGACAGUUUCUACAGAUUGUCCAUUCUUAAUUUAUUUGGGAAAAGUUCACUUGUCAGUGUCAGAAAGUUCGUUCCUUGUUUCUUGGAUGAUAACUUUUUGCAAAAACAUUACAGGAAAUAGAUGUAUUUGUUGUUGAUGUGUGGAUAAUAGGAAAAUAUCUCAAGUUCACUUUUCCUAUUGAUGAAAGUGCAGUUUUAUAUUUGCAGGAUUUCGCGGAGCACCAGGCCAUUCUCCUGGCCGUUGGAGUACAUAAAAGUUCAGCAGACCCCCAACAUCCAAGGACAGUACUACGACGGUACUCCAAGACUGGCCCAAUCCCUGAGAUGGUAUACUCUACCUUUUAUUCCAGGAAGUAAAUCUGACAAUACUUAGAGCUCUCUUAAGAUGGCGUUUGGGGCACUUGGUGGAGAUUCAACGAUGAUGUACAUCCCGCGGAUCCGUUGGUGUCAAUGUGUCAGCAUCAUAUACAUCAGGGAAGUGCACUCCAUACAUCCGGGCAGUUCACUCGGUGUGAUAAAAUUUUAGAAUGUUAAAUAAAUCAUUGCACUUGCACAUACCCGCAGUAUGGACACAAAUGGGUAUAGUUGUGACAAAGUUUCUAAGAAGUUGCUACCGAGUUUCUGUGCUAGAACCUGAAGGCAAUCAAAUGUUAGUUUAUUGAUUAUUACUAGUCUUUUAUUGGUCUCGUCCUCCAUAUUUUUAUUUUCUUUCUUCGAAGUGCAUUAUUUGCAUUCAGGAAGUGCACAUGGAUCAAUUUGAUAUUUAUGUUCAAUAUUCGUGAUAAUUUAUCUUCAUUUCUGGAAGUUCACACUUCAUUCCGUAGCAGAUCAGUGUAGGUCUUCUUGGGGCUGA